UUGAGGGGGAGCUUUAAAUAUUCAGUAUCUUAUCCUAUAGUUACUUUAAUGCAUACCUUGAAUUUUAUGGAUUGAUUUUGAUGAACCUCCUUAUAUUGCAAGACUUGCUUUAAUUAUAUAAUAAGUUUACACCUUGAGAUGAGUUCUAUAAAGGUUGUCUUAUCUCAAACCUUGAGUCUUAUGAAAAUAACCUGAAACUUGUAGAAAAUAUGUUUUUUUUGAGAUUGACAAUUUUACUGAACAUUAUCUUCAAAUUCUAAACACUUAAAUGGAAUGAUCAAUUGAGGGGGAGAAAGAAAAUCUUAGAAGGAGAGAUCUUAUGGAACUUAAUCGCAUAAAUCUAUAACUAAAGGAGAGAGAAAGCAUACUAAAUGAAAAGUGAUCCUAAUGCUCUCCAAUAUGUAUCAUCUGAAAUUUAAUCUGAAAAUCUUUAUGAUACACCUUGAGGCUUGUUAUUUGGUUAAUAUAUCUUAUGCAAAAAUCAUGAACCAAAUUGCAAUUCAAACAGUUGAUCUUAAGAGUCUCUAACUUAAUGAAAAAGGAGGAGAA
rnacentral:lncRNA from 1 species